ACCAGCUCGGGCACGUAAGCGCUGCCGGGUCCCGCUGCCCUGGGCAGGUGCUGUUGUGCUGAGGGCUGGCUGCUCCCGAGCCUCCUGAGAGCGACUUUGUUCACUGUAAAAGUGACUGGCUCUGCGAGAAGGCUGGAUUUUGUUUUCUUUGUGAUGCUGAGGUUGUAAGUGCAGGAGGUGUCUCUGAACUGGCAGUUCAGCAGGCAGUGCUGCUCGUUUUUAUUCUCCGGUGUCACUGCCCGGUGUUUUGUGAUAGGAGAAGGGAAAGAAGCGGAGUUUAUUCCCAGCCCGUGCAUUGAGGGUGUGGUUAAAGUAGCCCUGGUCUGGAGUUAAUUUUUUCUCUAUUCAAAUGAAUAAAUACCAAAAAAAAAAUGCAGCCUUUGUCAGGAGGGCAUUGUGCCUCUGACAUUAGCAGCACAAAACAUCCAGUUGUCCUGCUGGAGCCCACUUGGGCUUUGCUGGUUCGAGAGAUAAUGAUGUCGUUGUGCUGAGAGCCUGAUUUGUGCUCUCAAAGCAUGAUGCCAGGAGACCUCCAGACCCCUCCUACACACCAAGCAGGAGGGACUGGGCCGGAGCAAUGCAGAAACACAGACGUCAGUUAAUUCCUUGCAAAGCUCUUCCUGCACAGAUCCACGUCACAUGCACUGGGGAGAAUCGUGGUCACUUCCAGAGCGUUACGUGGCCAGCCAUGCAGAGCAGGAGCAGGAGAGGCUCCAGGGAGCCAGCCCGAGUCUGCCCAGCAGAGGACAGGUAGUCUCAGCACCCCGCAGAGUUACCAAUGCCCUCUGCCUCUGGGGAAGGACAGAACACUUCUCAUCUUAGGGAACUCCUGCUCCCAGGGAAGUGUCUGCGUGUGCUAUCUGUACCCACUGCCACGGGUAUGUGAGUGGGACAGGGUGGAAAACACUGCUGGGGCUGCCUUGGAGCAAGCACGCAGGAAAUGCUUCAACAAAAGCUAGUGGAUGUUUUAUUUUCUUGCUUAGCCUAAAAUAAGGUCCAGUCCAGGGCAAGCGAAACGACCGAGAAGAUGUAGACAGCCUGUGGGAACGUGCAGCUCAGGAAUGCAGCCUGCAAGUGAAACUCUUCUUGUCCUGCUGUUUUCUGCUGCUUCCCAUGCAGGAUGAGUAUCAGGCCCUGUGGUGUCGGUGCCUCCCACCCCCCUGCCCAGUCCUGCCUCCUUGGGUUCUUAUUUUCUGUCCUACACGGAGCGUGUUAAAUAGCAGAAGAUGCCUUGCGGGCAGUUUCAGUGGGUGAUGCACUGACAUACCUUUGGUGUAACGUUUGAAUAGCAGG